AUUGAACGCUGGCGGCAUGCCUUACACAUGCAAGUCGAACGGUAACGGGCCUUCGGGUGCCGACGAGUGGCGAACGGGUGAGUAAUGCAUCGGAACGUACCUUUCAGUGGGGGAUAACGUAGCGAAAGUUACGCUAAUACCGCAUAUUCUGUGCGCAGGAAAGCAGGGGAUCGCAAGACCUUGCGCUGAUUGAGCGGCCGAUGUCAGAUUAGCUAGUUGGUGAGGUAAAGGCUCACCAAGGCGACGAUCUGUAGCGGGUCUGAGAGGAUGAUCCGCCACACUGGAACUGCGCGACGGUCCAGACUCCUACGGGAGUCAGCAGUGGGGAAGUUUGGACAAUGGGGGCAACCCUGAUCCAGCCAUGCCGCGUGAGUGAAGAAGGCCUUCGGGUUGUAAAGCUCUUUCGGCCGGGAAGAAAUCGCAUGGGUUAAUACCCUGUGCGGAUGACGGUACCGGCAUAAGAAGCACCGGCUAACUACGUGCCAGCCGCCGCGGUAAUAC
rnacentral:rRNA from 1 species